rnacentral:lncRNA from 1 species
GAAUGCUAGGGUAUGUUAUGCCUGGUGUGUUCUAGGAGGGAGGCACCUGCUAUCCUUGAGUGCCCAUAUGAGGCUGCAGAAAGGAAGUCACGAUGAGCUGGAGUCUGGAGGGGUGAAAGGCUGAAGGACAGAGGCACUGGUCCGGAUCUUUACAUAGGGUGCACCAGUGGACGGAACCACAAAGCUUAACACAACGAAUGUCACACACCUACCCGGAAAAGUAGACAGGAUAGAGCGAAUGCAGGCAAGGGGGAAGGCACUGAAUAUGGAGAACAGCUCCGAGGACCUGUUCCUCCGAGCCCCGGAUGGGGCUGCACACAGCGCAGUGCGCCUUAAUGGCGUCAACCUCCACUGCUUACGGCGGCAGAGCAGUGGGGGAGGAGGGAUGCAUCAGCAGCAGAGACAGCAUUCGCCCCACAGUGCACACUGAAGGAGCAGCUGCCCGACACUAGAUGCUACCUGUACUCUCAAGUCACAGCCCUGCCCUUGCUUAAUUUAUAUUCUAGUUAGGAGAAAGAGACAAUAAACAAUUAGUACAGUAGAUAAGUCAACG